rnacentral:rRNA from 1 species
GCACAGGACAACUCCACGACGAAGAAUUACCUGACUUUAAUCUCGGAAGCUUAGCAGGGUCGGGCCUGGUUAGUACUUGGGUGGGAGACCACCUAGGAAGACCAGGUGCUGUAGGCG